UCGAUUGGUCACUUAAGUUCAUUUUUUUUUAUUUCUUUCUCUUUUCAUCUGUGCAAAGGAAAGCACCUGAGGGAGAUUAGAGGGGAAAGCCAAUGCCAGUGAUGAUGAGAAGAAACCCUACAGUAGAGACCAGUUGGAGGUGGCAGCAACUGUGAGGAGAGCAAGGAGGAGAUCGGCAUCUCAGAUCUAUGGGAAGGAAAGCACCUAAGGG
rnacentral:lncRNA from 1 species